rfam:Stegodyphus mimosarum contig15348, whole genome shotgun sequence.
GCCUUCGUGGUGUAGUGGUCAGCACGCUUGGCGUGUAUUCGAGAGGUCCGUGGUUUGAAUCCCGCCAAAGGCA